ACAAACACUGAAUCUUACAGCGCCUAGGACCUCUCUCUCUCUCUAUCCAGUCUUAUCAUACUGUGGUGUAUUGAAUUUGGAACCACAAAGAUUUGAAACCCUAGGCCUGCGAUCUUGACCUAUUUGAACAGUUACUGUUGAAGGGAAGACCAUAAUCUGGGCUUUAUAAUCACAGAAUGCCCAAAGGGAAGAUCCACCCAAAUCAACCCUCACAGUCUCUCGACAUAACCACAAUGGAGGACCCCUGCAAAAACGGUGUGAGGUGCGGUAAAUAGAUCCUUCGUUCUACCAAGGUUCGAAGAGGUAGAGGUCAACACCCAUCACUAAAGUUUGAGCCUACUACUCCACUUUCACAAAACAGGAAGUGUCCGUCUCCAUCUCCAGCGUCCUCGGCAAACUCUGUCAUUGGCGAGAACAACAUCCCACUGCCUACAAUGGACCGCACACAAAACGACCUUGACAUGUGGAGUUAUGUGAACAUGGAAAAAUUCAUUCACAUAAUGGUUGAGGUGGCUAGGAGGGAGGAAGCUACCAACUCAAAACAGUCACGACAAUUUAAUGACUUACAAUGGCAUGAAAUAUUGACGGAGCUAGGAGUGAGGACAGGGAGAAUAGGGUACACUAUUCCUAAGAUCCGA